GGCCCGGAGCCGGGCGGAAGGCGCGCAGAGCCUCGGGGUUUUUUUUGUUUUGUUUUGUUUUUGUUUUUAAUAUUUACUUUUUAGGUUUUGGUGGUCACAACAUCUUUAUUUUAUUUUUAUGUGGUGCUGAGGAUCGAACCCAGCGCCCGGCGCAUGCCAGGCGAGCGCGCUACCGCUUGAGCCACAUCCCCAGCCUGCCCCGGGGUUUUUCACACCCGGUUCUCCAACUCAUGGCAUUCAAAGACCCGAAGCCUCUGGUCCGUCGUCUCAUAGGGUCAAUCUUUGUGUCACGUCGUAGGAACGAUGAACAUUCCCCUCGACAACUUUUGAAAGCAAGAGCUAAAACCCAUUUUGAAGACUGGCCUCGCUGCUGUGCGCCUCUCUUGCAGACAGAUGACAGCUCUUCCUUGGACGUUUUCACUGGUUCUGCAACACCCAGUGUCCCCUUCUCUCGGCACUCCCCGGUGGGCGCCCAGUGUCCAGGGGGAGGAUGUCCCUGGAUGAGUCCACUGUGUACAGAGGCACCAUGGGAGUUGUCAUUGUCAGGAACAUUCUACACCCCAGGAAUCUUGAGGGAUGCUUCCUUGGAUCUGGAGAUUGUGGAAGGAAGGCCCAAGGGAUGGAGGCACUGACCCUCUCAGGAUGGUGACAUGGGGUGCCAGCUCUCUUUAUGUUGAUUUAUUGUCAAGAAGCCAAGUCAACCUGUGUUUCUGAGAUUGAGAUAGAAGUUCCAAGCCGCUGGGCUGGACUAACUUUCUCUUGGUCUGUGGUGUUGAUUGUGGACACUGGCACAGCAGAAAGUGAAGUGUGAUGUUGCCACGUGACACAUUGCCAGACCUUGCCACUGUUGCCUCAGCACAACGUGGAAACUUUUACUCUGUAUGAUCAGGGCAAGGAAAGCCCUGGAUUCUGGGGACUUGGGGUUCAUAGGUGGAAACCCUUCAGCUGGCUCUGCCUCUCCUCAGCAGUGCCACGGAUCCCUGAACGGGAAGACUGGUCUCCAUCUCAUGUGUGGCCAGCUUCUGUGUCUUCUUUCCUAUUCCUGUUUUAACUGUUUAGAUCUAAAAAAAUGCUAAUGACGUUUUCUAUGCUGUGUCCUUGUCCUUUUACCUCAAUAAAUUUUGAAAUAUGCCUUGU
rnacentral:lncRNA from 1 species